GGCGAACGCUGGCGGCGUGCUUAACACAUGCAAGUCGAACGGAAAGUCCCUGCUUGCGGGGUACUCGAGUGGCGAACGGGUGUGUCACCCUCGAGUGCUCUGCCCUGCACUUCGGGUUAAGCCUGGGAAACUGUGUCUACUACCGGGUAGGAUCCAUCUUGAUUGUGAUGGUUGUACAGUUUUUUCGGUGUGGGAUGAGCUCGCGGCCCAUCAGCUUGUUGGUGGGGUAAUGGCCUACCAAGGCGGCGACGGGUAGCCGGACUGAGAGGGGGGACGGCCACAUUGGGGCGGAGAUGCGGCCCAGACUCCUACGGGAGGGAGCAGUGGGGAAUAGUGCACAAUGGGAGCAAGCCUGAUGCAGCGAAGCCGCGUGGGGGAUGAGGGCCUUCGGGUUGGAAACUACAUUCGCUAGGGACGAAGCAUAUUGUGACGGUACCUAGAGAAGAAGCACCGGCUAACUACGUG
rnacentral:rRNA from 1 species